AAACCUUCUUUUCCUUCAAGCUUUGAUUAUUCAAGUUUGUUUGCACUUAGUUCAAUGCCCAUAACAGACUGAUUCAACAAAGGUUUUCUCAUCUGGCAAAGGUAUAAGGUGAGUGGUUUCCCAAGAAGGUUUCAUGCUCCCUUAAAGGAACAGUCAGCUAAGCUUCUCAAAAGAUCAGCCUAACAAACGACUAGGGAGACUGGGUUAAAGGAAAUUGGACACUCUCAUCGGCCUUAAGAAUAAAAGGAACACCUGCAAAAUGGCAAGAGGAAAACUGACAUACUCUUCGGAAUUGUCAUUGGCUUUGGUGUUGAUCUUCACAAGAUGAAGAAACUGAGCCCAGGGAAGUGCCUCAUCCACUGUCCCACGGCAUAAUGAUGAAGAGGAGAUUCUACAAGUUCAUCUCAAUAGUUGGAAGUCUUUUUUUCAUGAAGAAAUGCAAUUUCAUAUACAUGGUGGCUGGUGAUGUUGUAGAAUUAACAUUUAAUCUCCUGAAAUGAUUUCAUUUUGAUAGAGCAGCCAUUUGGAGUGAGGUUUUUUUUUGGUGACACUUGGGUAAGGUACCUAGCAUACGCCCAUCUAUUAUAGAGCUCAUUUUCUAGGUUGGCUCACUCACCUCCAUGUGCCUUUACACUGGAAGGUUUAGGAUCUCAGGGGCUAUCCCUAAACUCCUCUUUCAGGUUCCCAGAGGUACCCUUAUUAUGGAUAAGUACAUUUCUCCUACUUACCAACAUAGCUCUGGAGCCCCCACUGUUGUAAUUCCACUUAUACAAGCCUAGAUUCUAAUAAUGAUGAGAAUUUUAAGCACAACUAUUUACUUAACAAUAAA